rnacentral:rRNA from 1 species
AGAUUGAACGCUGGCGGCAGGCCUAACACAUGCAAGUCGAGCGGUAGAGAGGUGCUUGCACCUCUUGAGAGCGGCGGACGGGUGAGUAAUGCCUAGGAAUCUGCCUAGUGGUGGGGGAUAACGUUCGGAAACGGCGCUAAUACCGCAUACGUCCUACGGGAGAAAGCGGGGGACCUUCGGGCCUCGCGCCAUUAGAUGAGCCUAGGUCGGAUUAGCUAGUUGGUGAGUAAUGGCUCACCAGGCGACGAUCCGUAACUGGUCUGAGAGGAUGAUCAGUCACACUGGAACUGAGACACGGUCCAGACUCCGAGGGAGCAGCGAGUGGGAAUAGUGGACAAGUGGGACGAAAGC